rnacentral:rRNA from 1 species
CGUGCCUAAUACAUGCAAGUCGAGCGGACUUUUGGGAGCUUGCUCCCAAAAGUUAGCGGCGGACGGGUGAGUAACACGUGGGCAACCUGCCUAUGAGACUGGGAUAACUCCGGGAAACCGGGGCUAAUACCGGAUAAUUCUUUUCUGCUCAUGUAGAAAAGCUGAAAGAUGGUUUCGGCUAUCACUCAUAGAUGGGCCCGCGGCGCAUUAGCUAGUUGGUGAGGUAACGGCUCACCAAGGCGACGAUGCGUAGCCGACCUGAGAGGGUGAUCGGCCACACUGGGACUGAGACACGGCCCAGACUCCUACGGGAGGCAGCAGUAGGGAAUCUUCCGCAAUGGACGAAAGUCUGACGGAGCAACGCCGCGUGAGUGAUGAAGGUUUUCGGAUCGUAAAACUCUGUUGUUAGGGAAGAACAAGUAUCGGAGUAACUGCCGAUACCUUGACGGUACCUAACCAGAAAGCCACGGCUAACUACGUGCCAGCAGCCGCGGUAAUACGUAGGUGGCAAGCGUUGUCCGGAAUUAUUGGGCGUAAAGCGCGCGCAGGUGGUCUCUUAAGUCUGAUGUGAAAGCCCCCGGCUCAACCGGGGAGGGUCAUUGGAAACUGGGAGACUUGAGUGCAGGAGAGAAGAGUGGAAUUCCACGUGUAGCGGUGAAAUGCGUAGAGAUGUGGAGGAACACCAGUGGCGAAGGCGACUCUUUGGCCUGUAACUGACACUGAGGCGCGAAAGCGCGGGGAGCAAACAGGAUUAGAUAACCUGGUAGUCCACGCCGUAAACGAUGAGUGCUAAGUGUUAGAGGGUUUCCGCCCUUUAGUGCUGCAGCAAA